rnacentral:rRNA from 1 species
UACAGAGGAGCCAAGCGUUGUCCGGAUUGACUGGGCGUAAAGCGCACGCAGGCGGAUGCGCGCGUGGGGUGUGAAAUCUGGCCGCUUAACGGCCAGGCGCCAUCCCAUACGGCGCGUCUGGAGUGAUGCAGAGGCCGAUGGAAUUGCCGGUGUAGUGGUGAAAUGCGUAGAGAUCGGCAGGAACACCCAGGGGGAAACCAGUCGACUGGGCAUCUACUGACGCUGAGGUGCGAGAGCGUGGGGAGCGAACAGG